rnacentral:rRNA from 1 species
UACGGAGGAUCCAAGCGUUAUCCGGAAUUACUGGGCGUAAAGAGUUGCGUAGGUGGCAAUAUAAGUUGGUAGUGAAAGCGUGAGGCUCAACCUCAUAAACAUUAUCAAAACUAUAUAGCUUGAGCAUGAGAGAGGUAGAUGGAAUUUCUAGUGUAGGAGUGAAAUCCGUAGAUAUUAGAAGGAACACCGAUGGCGUAGGCAGUCUACUGGCUCAUUGCUGACACUAAGGCACGAAAGCGUGGGGAGCGAACGGG